rnacentral:rRNA from 1 species
GAUCCUGCUCAGGAUGAACGCUAGCGACAGGCUUAACACAUGCAAGUCGAGGGGCAGCACAGGGUAGCAAUACUUGGGUGGCGACCGGCGCACGGGUGAGUAACGCGUAUGCAACUUACCUAUCAGAGGGGGAUAGCCCGGCGAAAGUCGGAUUAAUACCCCAUGAAACAGGGGUCCCGCAUGGGAAUAUUUGUUAAAGAUUCAUCGCUGAUAGAUAGGCAUGCGUUCCAUUAGG